CGAGGGCGGGGCAGAUUCAUCAACGCCCAUGUAGAGGGCAGUGUCGCCCAGGCGCACAAGAUAGUCGCCGUCGGGGAUGACGGCCUGUGUGGCGCGUAUGGCGAGGAAGGCGUCUCUCUGGCGUCUGGUCUGUGCCGCGCGCACAAAGUAGACGACGACAAUUGCGAUCAACGCGCCGACAAACAAUACCAGUGCUGUCACCCAUACCCACGCCCACCGGCGCAGCGGCGAUUCGAUCUCGGUGGCCGGCACGUUGACCAGCGCCACCGGUUCGCUCACCUGCACUGCACUCAUUGUAUCGCGGCCCAGAGGAGGCAGUCUGAUGGUGACUCUCUGUCUUUUUUUUUCUCUUUCUGUUGCGCAAACACACAAGGCGCAAAUGUUGCGGCGCACGGUAUCGUCUUUUGCCUUGGAGGCGGGCGCCAUUCCGACGACCAGAGGUUCUGCGCUGCGCACACACACACACGACCCAAGUUGGGCGAGGUCAGUCGCCACAAAUCCUUUUUUCUUUUUUUUCUUUUUGAACAGACACAACUUUUCUCACUAUUUUUUUGGGGUGGGUCUUUGGGUUGUGUGUUUUAUUUUUCCUAAUGUUGGCGCUUCUGUAGUCGAAAAAGGAGCGCCAACGCAAAGAGCACGACCGCGGCACAGGCGACUGCGUACGCGAGCAUGCCCUCGACGCUGCCGGUGACCAAUGAGACCCCCGUCACAAGAAGAAGCCCGAGGAUGGCCCAGUAGACGGCGGCGGGCGAUACGUGUUUGCACGCCAUGUCGCCCAACUUGGUGCCGACGGCGCUUCCUACGGUCGCCACCGCAUAAUACGGCCACUGGCCGUGCCAGUCAAAGAGCCCGUGUCUGGUCGGCAGGGCGGGUGUGGGUGAUCCGUAUAUAUGUGUGUGUGGUGUUUUUUAAAAAAAGUGUCAGCCAAAUCGUUGGUCGCGCGCGCACAGACGGAACCCGAGACGCACCAACACAAGGAAAAAACAAAAAUCCAAACCUGGAAAAAACAAAAGUGGUGGUGG
rnacentral:lncRNA from 1 species